UACAAGUACCGUGGGGAAAGUUGAAAAGAACUUUGAAGAGAGAGUUCAAAAGGACGUGAAACCGCUUAGAAUAAAGCGGACGGAGCCGUCAGUGGCCUUCUGGAAUCAGUCGUAUGACGCGCGAAAAUACGUGUCGCCAGAGCGAAAGUCUGGCGGGCGUGUUAUCCAGGAGCGUUCAUUCGAUGCAUUUCCGGAGGGUAUGCGCCACGACCGAUGCGAAAGGCUAGUGAAUCUGGCGAGUUGAGGUGGAAACCCUUCACGGGGUAUUCAUUACCAGCUCGUCGGCAUAUAGUCGCUAGACCGUAGUAGGCAUCGAGCGCUGAAUUUACUUGGAACACUGGCAAAAAUGCUCGUUUAAGCUAUGGAUAGUCGAUGGAAUGGGCCGUACCUGCUCGCAGGUUAUGUCCGUUGCCGUUCGGCCUUUGAAGUCGCGGACGAGUUCUGUGUUCUGGCGUCAGUGGCGUCCGAGACGGUCAACCGUCCGACCCGUCUUGAAACACGGACCAAGGAGUCUAACGUAUGUGCGAGCUAAUGAGUGGAAAACUCAUAAGCGCAAUAAAAGUAAAAGCCGUUUCGGACGGUGCAGGGUACGAUCCUAGGGUAUAAUACACCCAAAGGCGCAGUACCAUCCCAUCCUGAUCGCUUGUCGAUAGGGUGGAGAUUGAGUGUAUACGUUGGGACCCGAAAGAUGGUGAACUAUGCCUGAGCAGAGCGAAGCCAGAGGAAACUCUGGUGGAGGUUCGUAGCGGUUCUGACGUGCAAAUCGAUCGUCAGACUUGCGUAUAGGGGCGAAAGACUAAUCGAACCAUCUAGUAGCUGGGUCCUUCCGA
rnacentral:rRNA from 1 species